rnacentral:rRNA from 2 species
AGAGUUUGAUCCUGGCUCAGGAUGAACGCUAGCUACAGGCUUAACACAUGCAAGUCGAGGGGCAGCGGGAUUGAAGCUUGCUUCAAUUGCCGGCGACCGGCGCACGGGUGAGUAACGCGUAUCCAACCUUCCGUACACUCAGGGAUAGCCUUUCGAAAGAAAGAUUAAUACCUGAUGGUAUGAUGAGAUUGCAUGAUAGCAUCAUUAAAGAUUUAUCGGUGUACGAUGGGGAUGCGUUCCAUUAGGUAGUAGGCGGGGUAACGGCCCACCUAGCCUACGAUGGAUAGGGGUUCUGAGAGGAAGGUCCCCCACAUUGGAACUGAGACACGGUCCAAACUCCUACGGGAGGCAGCAGUGAGGAAUAUUGGUCAAUGGACGAGAGUCUGAACCAGCCAAGUAGCGUGAAGGAUGAAGGUCCUACGGAUUGUAAACUUCUUUUAUAAGGGAAUAAAACCUCCCACGUGUGGGAGCUUGUAUGUACCUUAUGAAUAAGCAUCGGCUAACUCCGUGCCAGCAGCCGCGGUAAUACGGAGGAUGCGAGCGUUAUCCGGAUUUAUUGGGUUUAAAGGGAGCGCAGACGGGUCGUUAAGUCAGCUGUGAAAGUUUGGGGCUCAACCUUAAAAUUGCAGUUGAUACUGGCGUCCUUGAGUGCGGUUGAGGUGUGCGGAAUUCGUGGUGUAGCGGUGAAAUGCUUAGAUAUCACGAAGAACUCCGAUUGCGAAGGCAGCACACUAAGCCGUAACUGACGUUCAUGCUCGAAAGUGUGGGCUAUCAAACAGGAUUAGAUACCUGUAGUCCACACAGUAAACGAUGAUACUCGCUGUGCGAAUACAGUCAGCGCUUAACGAAGCGUUUAAGUAUCCAGCUGGGGAGUACGCCGGCAACGGUGAACUCAAGGAAUU